GGCAGUAUAGUUCAGUUGGUAGAACACGCGCCUGUUAAGCGUGGAGUCCCGGGUUCGAGCCCCGGUGCUGCCG
rnacentral:tRNA from 1 species